rnacentral:rRNA from 1 species
AACGAACGCUGGCGGCAUGCCUAACACAUGCAAGUCGAACGAAGCCUUCGGGCUUAGUGGCGCACGGGUGCGUAACGCGUGGGAAUCUGCCCUUGGGUUCGGAAUAACAGUUAGAAAUGACUGCUAAUACCGAAUGAUGUCUUCGGACCAAAGAUUUAUCGCCCAAGGAUGAGCCCGCGUCGGAUUAGCUAGUUGGUGAGGUAAAGGCUCACCAAGGCGACGAUCCGUAGCUGGUCUGAGAGGAUGAUCAGCCACACUGGGACUGAGACACGGCCCAGACUCCUACGGGAGGCAGCAGUGGGGAAUAUUGGACAAUGGGCGAAAGCCUGAUCCAGCAAUGCCGCGUGAGUGAUGAAGGCC